rnacentral:misc_RNA from 1 species
GAUGAAGAACGUAGCGAAAUGUGAUAAGUAAUGUGAAUUGCAGAAUUCAGUGAAUCAUCGAAUCUUUGAACGCACAUUGCGCCCGCCAGUAUUCUGGCGGGCAUGCCUGUUCGAGCGUCAUUUCAACCAUCAAGCCCCCGGCUUGUGUUGGGGACCUGCGGCUGCCGCAGGCCCUGAAAUGCAGUGGCGGGCUCGCUGUCACUCCGAGCGUAGUAGUUACAUCUCGCUCUGGGCGUGCUGCGGGUUCCGGCCGUUAAAAGCCUUAUUUACCCAAGGUUGACCUCGGAUCAGGGAGGAAGACCCGCUGAACUUAAGCAUAUCAAUAAGCGGAGGA